rnacentral:lncRNA from 1 species
AAUGGCUAAUAAUUGCAUAAAUUUGGUUAAUCAAUUAAUUUUCUAAAUUAGUGCUAAUUAAUGCAUAAAUUUAGGACCUCAAUUAAAAGUUUCUUUAAAUAUUGUAUUAUUUAAUUACCAAACUAACCUUGAAUAAAAUAAUUUUUUUACCUGCUAAGUAUUAAAGUUACAUUUUUACCCUCUAUUAAUCAACGGUUAAGAUCUUUUUUAUUUUUUUUAAAAAAAAGUACCGAAUCAUUUCUCAAACAAAUUUCCUUUUCUCUCUUGAGAAAAAAAAAAUCCAAAAUUCACG